UUAAGUUAAUAAGGGCGCACGGUGGAUGCCUUGGCACUAGAAGCCGAUGAAGGACGUGACUAACGACGAAAUGCUUUGGGGAGCUGUAAGUGAGCAAUGAUCCAGAGAUGUCCGAAUGGGGGAACCCGGCAGGUAAUGCCUGUCACUCAUUACUGUUAAGGUAAUGUAGAGGAAGACGCAGUGAACUGAAACAUCUAAGUAGCUGUAGGAAGAGAAAGCAAAAGCGAUUGCCUUAGUAGCGGCGAGCGAAACGGCAAGAGGGCAAACCGAAGAGUUUACUCUUCGGGGUUGUAGGACUGCAACGUGGACUUAAAGAUUAUAGAAGAACUACCUGGGAAGGUAGGCCAAAGAGAGUAAUAGCCUCGUAUUCGAAAUAGUCUUUAUACCUAGCAGUAUCCUGAGUACGGCGAGACACGAGAAAUCUCGUCGGAAUCUGGGAGGACCAUCUCCCAACCCUAAAUACUCUCUAGUGACCGAUAGUGAACCAGUACCGUGAGGGAAAGGUGAAAAGCACCCCGGGAGGGGAGUGAAAUAGAACCUGAAACCGUGUGCCUACAACAAGUUCGAGCCCGUUAAUGGGUGAGAGCGUGCCUUUUGUAGAAUGAACCGGCGAGUUACGAUAUGAUGCGAGGUUAAGUUGAAGAGACGGAGCCGUAGGGAAACCGAGUCUUAAUAGGGCGCAUUAGUAUCAUGUCGUAGACCCGAAACCAUGUGACCUACCCAUGAGCAGGUUGAAGGUGAGGUAAAACUCACUGGAGGACCGAACCAGGGCACGUUGAAAAGUGCUUGGAUGACUUGUGGGUAGCGGAGAAAUUCCAAACGAACUUGGAGAUAGCUGGUUCUCUCCGAAAUAGCUUUAGGGCUAGCGUCGAUGUUAAGUCUCUUGGAGGUAGAGCACUGUUUGGGUGAGGGGUCCAUCCCGGAUUACCAAUCUCAGAUAAACUCCGAAUGCCAAUGAGAUAUAAUCGGCAGUCAGACUGCGAGUGCUAAGAUCCGUAGUCGAAAGGGAAACAGCCCAGACCACCAGCUAAGGUCCCAAAAUAUAUGUUAAGUGGAAAAGGAUGUGGGGUUGCACAGACAACUAGGAUGUUAGCUUAGAAGCAGCUAUUCAUUCAAAGAGUGCGUAAUAGCUCACUAGUCGAGUGACCCUGCGCCGAAAAUGUACCGGGGCUAAAACAUAUUACCGAAGCUGUGGAUACCUUUAUAGGUAUGGUAGGAGAGCGUUCUAUGUGCGAAGAAGGUGUACCGUGAGGAGUGCUGGAGCGCAUAGAAGUGAGAAUGCCGGUAUGAGUAGCGAAAGACAGGUGAGAAUCCUGUCCACCGUAAGACUAAGGUUUCCAGGGGAAGGCUCGUCCGCCCUGGGUUAGUCGGGACCUAAGGAGAGACCGAAAGGUGUAUCCGAUGGACAACAGGUUGAUAUUCCUGUACUAGAGUAUAUAGUGAUGGAGGGACGCAGUAGGCUAACUAAACCAGACGAUUGGAAGUGUCUGGCCAAGCAGUGAGGUGUGAUAUGAGUCAAAUGCUUAUAUCUUUAACAUUGAGCUGUGAUGGGGAGCGAAGUUUAGUAGCGAAGUUAGUGAUGUCACACUGCCGAGAAAAGCUUCUAGCGUUAAUUAUACUCUACCCGUACCGCAAACCGACACAGGUAGUCGAGGCGAGUAGCCUCAGGUGAGCGAGAGAACUCUCGUUAAGGAACUCGGCAAAAUGGCCCCGUAACUUCGGGAGAAGGGGCGCUGACUGAUGGUCAGCCGCAGUGAAUAGGCCCAAGCAACUGUUUAUCAAAAACACAGCUCUCUGCUAAAUCGUAAGAUGAUGUAUAGGGGGUGACGCCUGCCCGGUGCUGGAAGGUUAAGAGGAGUGCUUAGCGUAAGCGAAGGCAUGAAUUGAAGCCCCAGUAAACGGCGGCCGUAACUAUAACGGUCCUAAGGUAGCGAAAUUCCUUGUCGGGUAAGUUCCGACCCGCACGAAAGGCGUAAUGAUUUGGGCACUGUCUCAACGAGAGACUCGGUGAAAUUUUAGUACCUGUGAAGAUGCAGGUUACCCGCGACAGGACGGAAAGACCCCAUGGAGCUUUACUGCAGUUUGAUAUUGAGUAUCUGUACCACAUGUACAGGAUAGGUAGGAGCCUAUGACCUCGGGACGCCAGUUUCGAGUGAGGCGUUGUUGGGAUACUACCCUUGUGUUAUGGCUACUCUAACCCAGAUAGGUUAUCCCUAUCGGAGACAGUGUCUGACGGGCAGUUUGACUGGGGCGGUCGCCUCCUAAAAGGUAACGGAGGCGCCCAAAGGUUCCCUCAGAAUGGUUGGAAAUCAUUCGCAGAGUGUAAAGGUAUAAGGGAGCUUGACUGCGAGAGCUACAACUCGAGCAGGGACGAAAGUCGGGCUUAGUGAUCCGGUGGUUCCGUAUGGAAGGGCCAUCGCUCAACGGAUAAAAGCUACCCUGGGGAUAACAGGCUUAUCUCCCCCAAGAGUUCACAUCGACGGGGAGGUUUGGCACCUCGAUGUCGGCUCGUCGCAUCCUGGGGCUGUAGUCGGUCCCAAGGG
rnacentral:rRNA from 1 species